UCCCUGGUGGCCUAGUGGUUAGAAUGCUGGAUUUUCACUGCCACGGCCCAGGUUCAAUACCUGGUCAGGGAA
rnacentral:tRNA from 1 species